AUUGAACGCUGGCGGCAUGCUUUACACAUGCAAGUCGAACGGUAACAGGUUAAGCUGACGAGUGGCGAACGGGUGAGUAAUGCAUCGGAACGUGCCCGAUCGUGGGGGAUAACGCAGCGAAAGCUGCGCUAAUACCGCAUACGAUCUGAGGAUGAAAGCGGGGGACCGUAUGGCCUCGCGCGAUCGGAGCGGCCGAUGUCAGAUUAGGUAGUUGGUGGGGUAAAGGCUCACCAAGCCAACGAUCUGUAGCUGGUCUGAGAGGACGACCAGCCACACUGGGACUGAGACACGGCCCAGACUCCUACGGGAGGCAGCAGUGGGGAAUUUUGGACAAUGGGCGAAAGCCUGAUCCAGCAAUGCCGCGUGCAGGAAGAAGGCCUUCGGGUUGUAAACUGCUUUUGUACGGAGCGAAAGGGUUCUCUCUAAUACAGAGGGCUCAUGACGGUACCGUAAGAAUAAGCACCGGCUAACUACGUGCCAGCCGCCGCCGUAAGAC
rnacentral:rRNA from 1 species